rnacentral:rRNA from 1 species
UACAGAGGUGGCAAGCGUUGUUCGGAAUUACUGGGCGUAAAGGGCGCGUAGGCGGCCAUCUAAGUCCGAUGUGAAAUCUCCCGGCUCAACUGGGAAACUGCAUCGGAAACUGAUCGGCUUGAAGAUGGGAGAGGGUAGUGGAAUUCCCGGUGUAGUGGUGAAAUGCGUAGAUAUCGGGAGGAACACCAGUGGCGAAGGCGACUACCUGGCCCAUUCUUGACGCUGAGGCGCGAAAGCUAGGGGAGCGAACGGG